rnacentral:rRNA from 1 species
UUCAGAUUGCAGGCUGCAACUCGCCUGCAUGAAGUCGGAAUUGCUAGUAAUCGCAGAUCAGCAUGCUGCGGUGAAUACGUUCCCGGGCCUUGUACACACCGCCCGUCACACCAUGGGAGUCGGUAACACCCGAAGUCGGUAGCCUAACCGUAAGGAGGGCGCCGCCGAAGGUGGGAUUGAUGACUGGGGUGAAGUCGUAACAAGGUAUC